rnacentral:rRNA from 1 species
UACAGAGGGUGCGAGCGUUGUCCGGAAUCACUGGGCGUAAAGGGCGCGUAGGCGGCUCGGUAAGCGUGCGGUGAAAGCCCGGGGCUCAACCCCGGGUCGGCCGUGCGAACUGCAGAGCUGGAGCACUGUAGAGGCAGGUGGAAUUCCGGGUGUAGUGGUGAAAUGCGUAGAGAUCCGGAGGAACACCAGUGGCGAAGGCGGCUCGCUGGGCUUUACCUGACGCUGAGGCGCGAAAGCGUGGGGAGCGAACCGG